CUCUCUCUCUCUUCUUUUCAAUAUCCACAACCAAAAUCUUUCCUUAGUAAUCUCCCUGUAUCUGUAUCACCGAAAACAUCCUUUGAUGGCUCGCUCUCUUUCUGUUUCUUUAACAAAAACAUAUUGCUUAACAUCACCAACGAGAUUCUCUUCUCGUUUGCUUACCCUUAGAGCACAAUCAAACAUUCCUAACAGCAACAGUCCAUCAGAAACUGAUGAUUCCUCUUCAUCAACCGACCCCUUGCUUAGAAAGCUAGAAGAUGCAAUCCAUCGGAUCAUUGUGCGGCGUGCUGCACCUGAUUGGCUACCUUUCUUGCCCGGAUCUUCUUACUGGGUCCCAUCUCCUAGAUCUACAUCUGGCUCUCUUGGGAUUGCUCAUCUUGUUGAGAAAUUGGCUAAUCCUUUGUCCGAUGAGGAGUCCCUUUCCACCACUACUGUUAGAGGAUGGCCCUCCUCUGAUUACUUUGUUAAAGGUGCACCUGCACAUAUGAUGGAGUUAAAGUUGACUUCGAAGGAAGUAGAGUCAGAUACUACUUCAAGUAACGUGUCUCACUCUGAGGACGAGGAAGGGUAGAUCAAAAUUCGUACAAAAUUAGCUUCUGGGCUCAUCCAAGCAUGUAAAUUUUUUGUAGAAUCAAGAAAAGUGAAACAAGUCAAACACCAACUGAAUCACAAUUUGAUCAACUGGAGCUUUUCAGAUGCGACUUGGUGUGGUAGCAACUGUGUUGUUUGUGAUGCCCUUUCUAGCUUGCUGGCUAUGGUGUUUUUUAUUUAGUUCAGAAAGAAGAAAGAAGUACGAGCAGUGUAAUCAAGCUACCCAACAGCUAGCAUUCACUUAACCCCCCUCCUCCAUUCCCCACCAUGCCAAUCUCACUCGGUUUCUGAUUGUUUUACUUAUGCAUCAUGUUUUGUUGAUAUCUCUUUACUUCGUGGUCCUGGCGAUUCUUGGUGUCUCUGCUGUCAAAGACUGCUUAGUAUACUAGUACAGUGGUUUCUCAAUCCAAUUCUCAUGCUUCAUGAGGUCUUUAUAGUUGCUUCCAACCCCAAUGUGCUGUUAGAGGUGCUAGAGCUGCUGUCAUUCAGCCCCCAUCUUGUUUCAUCACUUAAACUUCAAAAGUUUUAUAUCAUUAUUUUCUGGAAGUGCUAAUUUGGAUGCCUUUUGAUAUUUGAUUCAAGAAAAAUGCGAUUCAGAUCC